GUCUGUAUGAAGGUAAUAUAAAGUCUGGCCUGCCCACUGAGUUUUAAAGGGCCGCGGUAAUUUGACCGUGCGAAGGUAGCAUAAUCAAUAGUCUCUUAAUUGGAGGCUGGAAUGAAUGGUCGCACAAGAAGUAGUCUGUCUUUUUUAUAAAAAUUGAAUUUAACUUUUAAGUGAAAAGGCUUAGAUUUCUUAGUGGGAAGAUAAGACCCUAUAAAACUUUACAUAGGUAAGGUGGUUUUUAAAUUUAAGUUUAAAUAAAGGUACCUUCACUUUGUUGCGUUGGGGCGAUGAAAAUAUAAGUGUAACUGUUUGUUAAUAAAGAUAAAAGUAUUUAGUAUAGAUUGAUCCUUUAUUAAGGAUUAUAAGAGUAAGUUACUUUAGGGAUAACAGCGUGAUUUUUUCUGAGAGUUCUUAUCGACGAAAGUAGUUGCGACCUCGAUGUUGAAUUAAAAUUUCAUCAGGGUGUAGGAGCUUUGAUUGUGGGUCUGUUCGACCUUUUAAAUUUUACAUGAUUUGAGUUCAAACCGGUGUGAG
rnacentral:rRNA from 1 species